CAGUAGCCGCGGGAAUACGUAGGUGGCAAGCGUUGUCCGGAAUUAUUGGGCGUAAAGGGCUCGCAGGCGGUUUCUUAAGUCUGAUGUGAAAGCCCCCGGCUCAACCGGGGAGGGUCAUUGGAAACUGGGAAACUUGAGUGCGGAAGAGGAGAGUGGAAUUCCACGUGUAGCGGUGAAAUGCGUAGAGAUGUGGAGGAACACCAGUGGCGAAGGCGACUCUCUGGUCUGUAACUGACGCUGAGGAGCGAAAGCGUGGGGAGCGAACAGGAUUAGAUACCCGCGUAGUCCCUGUCUCUUAUAC
rnacentral:rRNA from 1 species